UAAUACGGAGGGUGCAAGCGUUAUCCGGAUUCACUGGGUUUAAAGGGUGCGUAGGUGGCUUUGUAAGUCAGUGGUGAAAUGCCGGAGCUUAACUCCGGAACUGCCAUUGAUACUGCUUAGCUUGAAUCACGUCGAGGUGGAUGGAAUAUUACAUGUAGCGGUGAAAUGCUUAGAUAUGUAAUAGAACACCGAUUGCGAAGGCAGUUCACUAGGCGUGUAUUGACACUGAGGCACGAAAGCGUGGGGAUCAAACAGGAUUAGAUACCCUGGUAGUCCACGCCCUAAACGAUGUAAACUCGACAUCAGCGAUAUACUGUUGGUGUCCAAGCGAAAGCGUUAAGUUUACCACCUGGGAAGUACGACCGCAAGGUUG
rnacentral:rRNA from 1 species